rnacentral:lncRNA from 1 species
UCGUCGCUCUGCGCGUCGGCAAGGUCGACCGCCAUGGUCCACUCCUCUGCCCAACUGCCAUCAGGUAGUCACCGCGCUCUCUUACCUUUCUCCCUCAACUUAUGGAUGGAUUAGGAUUACGUGCUCCUGGACCUAGAUCUCUAUUCGUAUAUCUAUACAUAUAUAUCCGAGUAUCCAACAAUUGAUCGGAAAACUUCACCUUCUUCUUCUUUUACGCCGUCACCUUUACCUAUGUAAUACACAAGGGCAUGAAAUGGUUGAAAUACAAAGGGUAUCGCUAGUUUGCAUUUUGCUUCAUCUUGUUUACAUGAUGCCUGACUUCCUUCCCCAUGUGAUAGUUUACCAUCCCUCAUAACUCAUACUGCAUAACUCUUAGCUUCUUUGCUCUUGUCAACUGCUAUUAGCCUUUACAGUAUCUGAGGUUCCUGACCCCCUUCACAUUAUGCAAUUACAACCUCCUUUCAACCUCACUGCUAGUGGGCAGCCUUCUGCAUUCCAUGUACGUCUUUUUUCUUCACAAAAAGAGGUCAAUUGGUUGGCUUGAUCAUGUUCCUAAUUUCUUAUCCAAGUGUGUGCGGAUCACUUGCUUAUCAGCUAUUAAUUCUUGCAUGUUUACCCUACUACUUCUUAAGUUGGCUCGACAGACUCUCAUACUGAGGGAUUAUAGCCUGUUUGGCGCCUAUUAAGCAUGUAUAUGAUAACAUCCUUCUUGUGUGUGGAAUUAUGUGCUCUAUUGAUUUUCUCCACCGGGCCACUAAACUUUUGUUAUGUUUUUGCUGCAUUGCUAACUUGUGUUUUCUAAACUUGCAUGGGGAUCACUUAAUAUUGUCACCAAAAUUUUGGUAUCUUCAAUCCUAUUUAUAAAUGUUUUAUGUAGCUAGCGGAGGGAAAUGAAAAAAAAAAUGUAUAGUUGCACAGUUGUUUAUAUCCAUCUGAUUUGGUAGAAGUGAUUAUUUUAUUCUGGUGAUGUGCUUGUGGUGACCAUUCUAUCCUGGUGGAAUUUUCUUUUGUUAGGAAUAUGUUAGUGUGAGUUACUUCAUCAUACUUCCAAUUCCAUGCUACAUUCCUCCAGUCAGAGGAUGAGUUUAGUAACAGUGAUGAAGUAUUGUCCAUUGUUUGCAUGGGAAUGCGUAAGUUCUGCUUGUGCUUCAAUAGAUUUUUUCAAUUUUUCCACAUACAUUAUUUAACAUUCUUGAAAUUCUUGUACUUCGCUGGUCAGCAUAAUUCCUUCUGGGCCUCCUAUUUUUUUCCUUUGCAUGUUUCAUAUCAGUACCCUAAUCAAGGUAGAUGUGGCUCAUGGAGUCACUAUCCUGUGUCACUGUGACAUGAAUUAUACUAAAACUUUAUUGUUCUUCAGAUUCUCUACUACUAUUUUAAGUGUUUCGUCUGAUACUCUGAUUCUGACACGAUCAUGUAUUCAUGUUGAUUUUUGUGUUAACUUUGUAUCAUAUAUUAAUUUCUCAUGAGCAUAUUGUUUCAGCAAUUCUCACCUAAUAAAGAGUAUGGUGCUAGAGAUUGUUGAUUGCAGGAUUACAUGCUUUCAUCUUAUUAGUGAUGGCACUGUUCAUCCUACCAAAUAAAUAUGUCUUUUCAUUUGUAGGUAAUUUGGGCGUGUGUCAUAAUCUCUGAUAUAUGAGGAAAGAGAAGGUAGUUUCUUUCAUGGCUUUAUGAUAUUAUGUUGCUUGCAUAUCAAAUGGCUAAUACGUACAAUUGCAUUCUUAGAUGAGAUUUGAUCAAUAGGUUCCUUAUUAUUUGAUGCUUUUAGAUGGUAUGCUUUAACUGCGAAGAGUGUGCUCUCCUUUUUGUUAGUCUUUGGUUUAACUUUCUGCUAUUACUUCGAAAAAAAAAUACUUUACUCGCUAAACUAUUUCAGUGUAUUUUGCACUGAAACUCUGCCUUUUUUUGCUCUGUUUAUCCCCUGAAAUUACUUAAUCAGGCUAACCUGUGCAAAUUCUGUUAUAGUUUAAUUUUUUUUAAGAUGAUAGGCACAAUAUUUGUUACAAAUUUGCACCCAACUUGUUGAUUGAAAGUUCCAAAAAAGAUCCAUAACAUUAGCUAUAUUAUGCUAUUUAUGAGCAAAACAAUUUCAAUUUAAAACAUGACAUGCACAAAGAGAAACAAAAAGAGAUUUCAUUACGAGGUGAAGUGAGCCUGUUUAGUAGUUCAGGGGGCUUAGUGCUCCAGCAAAAUAAUUUAGGGGGUUAAAGUGGACUUUUUCCUUGAUUUCUCUGUUCUGCAGUUAUAAUUUUAUAAAGGGACUUUUCCCUUAAUUUCUCUGUUCUGUAGCUAUAACUUUAUAAAGUAUGCUUGUGGGUGCAGCUAAUUACCACAGGCAUAUCUGGUGUUCCUACAUUAUUUGGUUCACUCUGGACAAGCUGUAAUAUGCAAAUAUUUGGUUCAUUAGUUCACACAGUCACAAUGCCUGACAAGUUGCACCGUCUAUGACUUUUUGUAUUUGCCAGCUGUGUUUUUGGUUUCCCCUCUUAACUUGACAAGUUAUCCAUGAAGCACUCUGUGCAACAUUGUCUUCCACUUAAAAUGGAUGUUACCUAUCAACAUUUCUACUAUUUUCCAUGGAAAAUAUUUCUGCUAUCAAUGUCAUUGCUAUAGAAGGUUUUACCUGCGAG